rnacentral:tRNA from 1 species
GCCCGCUUGGCGGAACUGGUAGACGCACGAGACUUAAAAUCUCGGGUCCUUCGGGACGUACAGGUUCAAGUCCUGUAGCGGGCA